CACGGCGCACGGGUGGAAACACGUGGGUAAUCUGCCCUCUGAUGGGGAAUAACCCGCCGAAAGGCGGGCUAAUUCCGCAUAACAUUCCUUGGACUCCGGUUCGAGGAUUCAAAGGCGUAAGUCGUCGGAGGUGGAGCCCGCGCCCGAUUAGCUAGUUGGUGAGGUAACGGCUCACCAAGGCAAUGAUCGGUAGCUGGUCUGAGAGGAUGGCCAGCCACACUGGAACUGAGACACGGUCCAGACUCCUACGGGAGGCAGCAGUGGGGAAUCUUGCACAAUGGGCGAAAGCCUGAUGCAGCGACGCCGCGUGGGGGAUGAAGCAUUUCGGUGUGUAAACCCCUUUCGACUGGGACGAAUGCCUCGCAAGAGGAGUGACGGUACCAGUAUAAGAAGCCCCGGCUAACUACGUGCCAGCAGCCGCGGUAAGACGUAGGGGGCCAGCGUUGUUCGGAAUUACUGGGUGUAAAGGGUUCGUAGGCGGUGUAGCAAGUUGGGAGUGAAAUCUCUGGGCUCAACUCAGAGGCUGCUUCCAA
rnacentral:rRNA from 1 species